UAUACGUCUCACAGACGUCAUUAUUUUUAUUAUGACAAUAUUUUUGAAAUAACGCGACGUGCAGCGUUACCCCUCCCGCUACCUUCCUAUCCUGUCAUCUUGUUGAGGCCAGUCACGGCCACCAGCGCCUCGAGUGCACAGGUGUUCACACAGGAGCGAUCGCCGUCUCUCAGACAAUGCCUACAAAAAAGAAAUCUGCCCCAAAGAGUAUGCCACAAACACCUAUGCUGGCUAGGAGUAUGCCAAGGAAACGGGAAAGAACACCAGUUGAAAGAUCAACUUCUCCACCGGCACUGCAUUGGACCAACCGACAUUCCUGAACCUCCUCCGUCUCUAAAAGCCAAGCUAAUCCGGAACCUGGAACUCGGAAGACGUGUGCAAUAUGUUCAAGUCGCCUAAAAAGAAGAACAAACUACUAUUGCUAUAAAUGCAGAAAGCCAAUGUGUCCAUGCUGUCUUCAAAUAUGCAAUGACUGUAUACUACGACGUUGAAAAUGUACCGAAUAUAUGCCUUGUCAUUUUUUUUGUUAUUGAAAAAAGACUAAUUAUUUUUGUUAUUUUUUAAUUAUAAUACAAAGAAGUUACGAUUAUUUAAGUUCAUUUGUGGAUUGAUGAGUAGAUUUAUAAAAAAAAGAGUUCCUAAAUUUAGCUAAGCAAUUAUAGUGUAUUCAUGAAUAAAUGUUGAUUAUUAUUAAAUUAA